rnacentral:ncRNA from 2 species
UAAGCCAGAAGAGGCGCGUCGCCCAGGUACUGUGCCCGAGGAGCCCAUCCCGGGACGGCACAGAAGGGGGAGCGGCGCCGAGGUAAACUGCCACGGGCGCGGCAGGCUAUCGGCUGCAGGGGCUGAAUCCCCUGGGCUGUCACCAGAAAUGUUCGGCAGUCGGACAUUUCAUACCCCGGCAACCGGUUAAGACCGGCGGCUCCGGGGUAUACAAGGUGGGGCGCUUCUGGGUGU